rnacentral:lncRNA from 1 species
GUUUCUAACUGUGCUAUCUGAGUUGCUUUCCAGGCCCACACUUCUUUCAUCUGUUGGGGAAGACAAGGAAGGGAGAAUUCUAAGAAAACUUAUUUAUUCCCAAGAGCAUUCUCCAAGUAACUGAUAUCUUCAACAGAAGGUGGUUGAUGAGGUAAUUGUGCUCUAAAGCCUAUAAUGCUCUUCAAAAGAAAGAUCAAUGCUGGGAUAAUUCCAGCCCAGCUGACAGAAGGGCUAUGGAAGACACUGAAGUUUAGGGUGCACAGAGAACUGAAGACAAGCAUGAACCACAUGAAAGGCUUUAAGAACAUGUAACUGAUGAUCCAUGUGAUAACAAAUGCAGAGGGAAACCUGGGGUAUUGUUGAUCGUGAGGGUCUUGGAAACAGAACAGGGGAGGUAGGACAUUCCUGAUAAGGGCAGCAACAUAAGAGAAUGCCCAUAUUUGGAAAUAAUCAUAGGUAUUUGCAGACACAUA